AGAGAGAGAGUUCAAGAGUACGUGAAACCGCAUAGGGGUUAAGCCCGAUGAACCUGAAUAUCUGAAAUGAGAAAUUCAAUACUAUUUUAGUAAUUUAUUUAAAUAAUAAAUAAACGAUGGUAUGCACUUUUCUCAUAGUAGGACAUUGCGAUCCAUUAGUAUGUCUUUUUAUAGACGGUUUAUUAAACGGCCCACAUGGUUAGUUUAUUCUAUCUGUGACACUAGUUGUCAUAUGAAUAAUACCAUUGUGGUGACCUAAUAAACAGCUGAUGGAGCUUAUAAAUCAUGCAUCCAUGCAUAUGUAUCACGGUUUAUAUAUUUUUUAAUAUAUGAAUGCAGUGAUAGCAUGUAUUUGAUUAGCAAUGCGAUAGAUUUGGGAUACCUUCGGGACCCGUCUUGAAACACGGACCAAGAAGUCUAACAUGUGUGUAAGUCAUUGGGUAUAUUGUUGAAACCUAAAGGCGAAAUUAAAAUAACUAUUUUAUGGGAUUACAAGCAAUUUUUAAUGAUAUUGCUUCUCCAUCCCGGGGCGUUCUAUACGAACAUGGUUUAAGAAAUUGAACCCUCUGUUCAAGAGCGUACCUUGAACAUACAUGCUGUGACCCGAAAGAUGG
rnacentral:rRNA from 1 species